ACGAACGCUGGCGGCGUGCCUAAUACAUGCAAGUCGAACGCACUCUCGUUUAGAUUGAAGGAGUUUGCUCCUGAUUGAUACACAUUUGAGUGAGUGGCGGACGGGUGAGUAACACGUGGGUAACCUGCCCUAAAGUGGGGGAUAACAUUUGGAAACAGAUGCUAAUACCGCAUAAAACCUAACACCGCAUGGUGUAGGGUUGAAAGAUGGUUUCGGCUAUCACUUUAGGAUGGACCCGCGGUGCAUUAGUUAGUUGGUGAGGUAAAGGCUCACCAAGACCGUGAUGCAUAGCCGACCGAGAGGGUAAUCGGCCACACUGGGACUGAGACACGGCCCAGACUCCUACGGGAGGCAGCAGUAGGGAAUCUUCCACAAUGGACGAAAGUCUGAUGGAGCAACGCCGCGUGAGUGAAGAAGGUUUUCGGAUCGUAAAACUCUGUUGUUGGAGAAGAAUGUAUCUGAUAGUAACUGAUCAGGUAGUGACGGUAUCCAACCAGAAAGCCACGGCUAACUACGUG
rnacentral:rRNA from 1 species